UGAGGAACAUGACCUUCGGCGGGGGAUAGCCGGCCCAACGGCCGGGUAAUACCGCGUACGACCACUUUGGGACAUCCCUCGGUGGUGAAAGCAGCAAUGCGCCGAUGGAGUGCCUCGCGGCCUAUCAGCUAGUUGGUGAGGUAACGGCUCACCAAGGCGACGACGGGUAGCUGGUCUGAGAGGAUGGCCAGCCACAUUGGGACUGAGACACGGCCCAGACCUCCGUACGGGGAGCAG
rnacentral:rRNA from 1 species